rnacentral:lncRNA from 1 species
AUGAAGGGCCUUGAAUGCCAGAAUGAAGCCUUGGAUUUUAUCCUGCAGUUGUUGGGAGCACUAAGAGUUUUUGAGCAAGAGAAGGACAGGAUCAGAACUGUGCUUUGGAAACAUGUACCAGCCAGUGUGCAUUCAUGCAUUCACUCAUUCAUUCAUUCAUUCAUUCAUCUAACCAAAAUGUGCCUUAAACAUCUGUCGCAUGCCAGGCCCUGGGAAUGCAGCAGUGACCAGAGGUGCUGUUGGCCUUCGUGGAGCUCAUGGUCUCCAGUGACAUGUGUGGGAGUGGACACUUGGACACAGAGGAGGCAUCAUCCCAGUCCUAGGCAAGCCUUGUCUGUUGUGCUCAACUGCAAAUGUCCCCAUCAAAACAGAAUCUGUUUCUCCAUCUUCUGGACCCAGGCUGGCUAUAUGACUGUCUUUGAUCAGUAGAACGCAAUGGAAGUGAGGGUAUAAAUGUUCUAAGCCUAAGUCUCCACUCUUGUCCUCUUGAAGUGCUGCUGCCGUGUGAACAAGCCUGCGUCAACCUCCACCUCAUGGAGGGAGACUCAGCCAUUCCAUUGGACACCCCAGACAUAAACAGGAUUCCAGGCAAUACCAUGUGGAGCAGAGGUGAGUCAUCCCAACUGAAUCCAGCCCAAAUUUCUGACCCACAGAAUCCUGAGCAAUAGAUGUUAUUUUAAGCGACUACAUUUUGGAAUAUUUUGUUAGCAAAAGCUAACUGAUACGGCUGUGUUGGCUUUUUGUCCUCAGGUUUGUUGUCUGUCUCAUGGUUGCAAAAUAGCUGCUGGUCAUUUCAUAAAACCAAAGUCAAAGAAGGAAGAAGGGGAUGGAUCAAAAAGGAAGUGUUUUCUUGCAAUGCUCCUCACUUUUACUGGUAAUUUUUUUUUUUUUUUGAGACAGAGUCUUGCUCUGUCACCCAGGCUGGAGUGCAGUGGUGCCAAUUCAGCUCACUGCAGCCUCCGCCUCCCGGGGUUCAAGUGAUUCUCC